rfam:Anaerosporomusa subterraneum strain RT4 RT4_contig_10, whole genome shotgun sequence.
GUCCUAGGUCGAACACAUCUGGAUAUGCCUAGGCGCCAACAGCCGAUGAAGGACGCAGCAAGCUGCGAAAAGCCACGGGGAGCUGCAAGCAAGCAUAGAGCCGUGGAUAUCCGAAUGGGGCAACCCGGCAGUGGUCAUGCACUGUCAUCCG